rnacentral:rRNA from 1 species
UAGGGAAUCUUCGGCAAUGGACGAAAGUCUGACCGAGCAACGCCGCGUGAGUGAAGAAGGUUUUCGGAUCGUAAAACUCUGUUGUUAGAGAAGAACAAGGACGUUAGUAACUGAACGUCCCCUGACGGUAUCUAACCAGAAAGCCACGGCUAACUACGUGCCAGCAGCCGCGGUAAUACGUAGGUGGCAAGCGUUGUCCGGAUCUAUUGGGCGUAAAGCGAGCGCAGGCGGUUUCUUAAGUCUGAUGUGAAAGCCCCCGGCUCAACCGGGGAGGGUCAUUGGAAACUGGGAGACUUGAGUGCAGAAGAGGAGAGUGGAAUUCCAUGUGUAGCGGUGAAAUGCGUAGAUAUAUGGAGGAACACCAGUGGCGAAGGCGGCUCUCUGGUCUGUAACUGACGCUGAGGCUCGAAAGCGUGGGGAGCAAACAGG